rnacentral:rRNA from 1 species
UACGUAGGAGACGAGCGUUGUCCGGAAUUACUGGGCGUAAAGCGCGUGUAGGCGGAUGAGCAAGUCUGCUGUGAAAGCUCCUGGCUUAACCGGGAGUGGUCGGUGGAAACUGCUCGUCUGGAGGACGGUAGAGGUAGGUAGAAUUCCCGGUGUAGUGGUGAAAUGCGUAGAGAUCGGGAGGAAUACCUGUGGCGAAGGCGGCCUACGUGGGCCGGACCUGACGCUGAGACGCGAAGGCGUGGGGAGCGAACGGG